AAAAAACCAAAACCUGAGUUUCCGUGUAUAACUUUGACUAUCCGUCUUAUAUAAAAUUAUUUUAUAAUUUGUAUUUUUCAUUGUUGUUGGAUGAUAAAACAUGAUUAAUAUUUUAUAUAUGACUUGUCUUUUUAAUUUUUUAUAAUUUUUUUAAAUAAAACGGACGGUCGAAUAUUGGCACGGAAAUUAGGAUUUAUU
rfam:Oryza nivara chromosome 9, whole genome shotgun sequence.